UACGUAGGGGGCAAGCGUUGUCCGGAAUCAUUGGGCGUAAAGAGCGUGUAGGCGGCCCGGUAAGUCCGCUGUGAAAGUCCAGGGCUCAACCCUGGGAUGCCGGUGGAUACUGUCGGGCUCGAGUCCGGAAGAGGAGUGUGGAAUUCCUGGUGUAGCGGUGAAAUGCGCAGAUAUCAGGAGGAACACCCGUGGCGAAAGCGGCUCUCUGGGACGGUACUGACGCUGAGACGCGAAAGCGUGGGGAGCAAACAGG
rnacentral:rRNA from 1 species